AGCAAUCUAUACCGUGAAACUGCGAAUGGCUCAUUAAAUCAGUUAUCGUUUAUUUGAUAGUACCUUACUACUUGGAUAACCGUGGUAAUUCUAGAGCUAAUACAUGCUAAAAACCUCGACUUCGGAAGGGGUGUAUUUAUUAGAUAAAAAACCAAUGCCCUUCGGGGCUCCUUGGUGAUUCAUGAUAACUUAACGAAUCGCAUGGCCUUGUGCCGGCGAUGGUUCAUUCAAAUUUCUGCCCUAUCAACUUUCGAUGGUAGGAUAGUGGCCUACCAUGGUUUCAACGGGUAACGGGGAAUUAGGGUUCUAUUCCGGAGAGGGAGCCUGAGAAACGGCUACCACAUCCAAGGAAGGCAGCAGGCGCGCAAAUUACCCAAUCCCGACACGGGGAGGUAGUGACAAUAAAUACUGAUACGGAGCUCUUUUGGGUUUCGUAAUUGGAAUGAGUACAAUUUAAAUCCCUUAACGAGGAACAAUUGGAGGGCAAGUCUGGUGCCAGCAGCCGCGGUAAUUCCAGCUCCAAUAGCGUAUAUUAAAGUUGUUGCAGUUAAAAAGCUCGUAGUUGAACCUUGGGCCUGGCUGGCCGGUCCGCCUCACCGCGUGCACUGGUCCGGCCGGGCCUUUCCUUCUGGGGAACCGCAUGCCCUUCACUGGGUGUGUCGGGGAUCCAGGACUUUUACUUUGAAAAAAUUAGAGUGUUCAAAGCAGGCCUAUGCUCGAAUACAUUAGCAUGGAAUAAUAGAAUAGGACGUGUGGUUCUAUUUUGUUGGUUUCUAGGACCGCCGUAAUGAUUAAUAGGGAUAGUCGGGGGCAUCAGUAUUCAAUUGUCAGAGGUGAAAUUCUUGGAUUUAUUGAAGACUAACUACUGCGAAAGCAUUUGCCAAGGAUGUUUUCAUUAAUCAGUGAACGAAAGUUAGGGGAUCGAAGACGAUCAGAUACCGUCGUAGUCUUAACCAUAAACUAUGCCGACUAGGGAUCGGGCGAUGUUAUUAUUUUGACUCGCUCGGCACCUUACGAGAAAUCAAAGUUUUUGGGUUCUGGGGGGAGUAUGGUCGCAAGGCUGAAACUUAAAGAA
rnacentral:rRNA from 1 species